rnacentral:rRNA from 1 species
AAAUUGAAGAGUUUGAUCAUGGCUCAGAUUGAACGCUGGCGGCAGGCCUAACACAUGCAAGUCGAACGGUAACAGGAAGAAGCUUGCUUCUUUGCUGACGAGUGGCGGACGGGUGAGUAAUGUCUGGGAAACUGCCUGAUGGAGGGGGAUAACUACUGGAAACGGUAGCUAAUACCGCAUAACGUCGCAAGACCAAAGAGGGGGACCUUCGGGCCUCUUGCCAUCGGAUGUGCCCAGAUGGGAUUAGCUAGUAGGUGGGGUAACGGCUCACCUAGGCGACGAUCCCUAGCUGGUCUGAGAGGAUGACCAGCCACACUGGAACUGAGACACGGUCCAGACUCCUACGGGAGGCAGCAGUGGGGAAUAUUGCACAAUGGGCGCAAGCCUGAUGCAGCCAUGCCGCGUGUAUGAAGAAGGCCUUCGGGUUGUAAAGUACUUUCAGCGGGGAGGAAGGGAGUAAAGUUAAUACCUUUGCUCAUUGACGUUACCCGCAGAAGAAGCACCGGCUAACUCCGUGCCAGCAGCCGCGGUAAUACGGAGGGUGCAAGCGUUAAUCGGAAUUACUGGGCGUAAAGCGCACGCAGGCGGUUUGUUAAGUCAGAUGUGAAAUCCCCGGGCUCAACCUGGGAACUGCAUCUGAUACUGGCAAGCUUGAGUCUCGUAGAGGGGGGUAGAAUUCCAGGUGUAGCGGUGAAAUGCGUAGAGAUCUGGAGGAAUACCGGUGGCGAAGGCGGCCCCCUGGACGAAGACUGACGCUCAGGUGCGAAAGCGUGGGGAGCAAACAGGAUUAGAUACCCCGGGUAGUCCACGCCGUAAACGAUGUCGACUUGGAGGUUGUGCCCUUGAGGCGUGGCUUCCGGAGCUAACGCGUUAAGUCGACCGCCUGGGGAGUACGGCCGCAAGGUUAAAACUCAAAUGAAUUGACGGGGGCCCGCACAAGCGGUGGAGCAUGUGGUUUAAUUCGAUGCAACGCGAAGAACCUUACCUGGUCUUGACAUCCACGGAAGUUUUCAGAGAUGAGAAUGUGCCUUCGGGAACCGUGAGACAGGUGCUGCAUGGCUGUCGUCAGCUCGUGUUGUGAAAUGUUGGGUUAAGUCCCGCAACGAGCGCAACCCUUAUCCUUUGUUGCCAGCGGUCCGGCCGGGAACUCAAAGGAGACUGCCAGUGAUAAACUGGAGGAAGGUGGGGAUGACGUCAAGUCAUCAUGGCCCUUACGACCAGGGCUACACACGUGCUACAAUGGCGCAUACAAAGAGAAGCGACCUCGCGAGAGCAAGCGGACCUCAUAAAGUGCGUCGUAGUCCGGAUUGGAGUCUGCAACUCGACUCCAUGAAGUCGGAAUCGCUAGUAAUCGUGGAUCAGAAUGCCACGGUGAAUACGUUCCCGGGCCUUGUACACACCGCCCGUCACACCAUGGGAGUGGGUUGCAAAAGAAGUAGGUAGCUUAACCUUCGGGAGGGCGCUUACCACUUUGUGAUUCAUGACUGGGGUGAAGUCGUAACAAGGUAACCGUAGGGGAACCUGCGGUUGGAUCACCUCCUUACCUUAAAGAAGC